GUCUCUAACUGCGAUUCAAAAUCACAAACAAGGCUGCGGGCCAUGGGGUAUCCUGUACAACAGAACCACAAAGCAUUUGAGUGCUUUGAAAUGGAGGCAACUGGAGUUCUUGCACAACACAGCUGUGAAAAUACUUUUCAGAGAGAAGAAUCUUUGCCUGUACAGAUGGAUACCACUAAACGUUGUGGAAAGUGCAAGUACCCGGAACGACUUUUUAGUGAACUGCACUACAUUCUGCAUUCGAAUAGAUUUGGGAUGGGGAAAUGAAACCUCAUAAAGCACUGAGGAUUUCCCAUGGAAAUCAUUCAAAGCUUCGAGAGUGUCGAAACCGCCAUCUGGUGGUUAAUAAAAAUAAAAUAAAAUAAAGC
ensembl:lncRNA